rnacentral:lncRNA from 1 species
CCUGCAACAAACAAGGAAAUGAUGAGACUGGAAACACAGCUGGACAAGCCAAUGAUGGGUCAACAUGGUUUGCACUGCAAGCUUGUUUCUUUCAAAACACCGCUACAUGAUGCUGUCAUUGAAUGUUGCAUUUUCACCUGCCUGUAUUUUCCAUGUCGCCUCGCAAUCUGUACCCAACGAUGGCAGCAUAGUCAGAAGAACACUUAUCAAUAGCACAAACUUUUCAUGCAAUUCAUUCCUUUUGGAAGUGAUUCUGUAGCACACACUCAAAACUCUCUUAAUAAUCUGACGUUCUAGCCGUGAAAUUUUGCUCCCAUUUCAGGACAACAAGAGAAAAUGCUCACCAAGUCUUCGAUGCCCUCAAUCUUCUCCUGGAGCUCAUCAAUGCUGACCUUGUCAUCCUCUACAACACACACAAUUUGUAGCUUCUUGAUUCCAUAAGCCAGGGGCAC